CAGGUAUCCUAGAAGACUGACUCUUUGCUGC
rnacentral:piRNA from 1 species